rnacentral:rRNA from 1 species
AGAGUUUGUUCCUGGCUCAGGAUGAACGCUGGCGGCGUGCCUAACACAUGCAAGUCGAACGAAGCACCUUACCGGAUUCUUCGGAUGAAAGUCUGGUGACUGAGUGGCGGACGGGUGAGUAACGCGUGGGUAACCUGCCCUGUACAGGGGGAUAACAGCUGGAAACGGCUGCUAAUACCGCAUAAGCGCACGAGGAGACAUCUCCUUGUGUGAAAAACUCCGGUGGUACAGGAUGGGCCCGCGUCUGAUUAGCUGGUUGGCAGGGUAACGGCCUACCAAGGCAACGAUCAGUAGCCGGUCUGAGAGGAUGAACGGCCACAUUGGAACUGAGACACGGUCCAAACUCCUACGGGAGGCAGCAGUGGGGAAUAUUGCACAAUGGGGGAAACCCUGAUGCAGCAACGCCGCGUGAGUGAAGAAGUAUUUCGGUAUGUAAAGCUCUAUCAGCAGGGAAGAUAAUGACGGUACCUGACUAAGAAGCUCCGGCUAAAUACGUGCCAGCAGCCGCGGUAAUACGUAUGGAGCAAGCGUUAUCCGGAUUUACUGGGUGUAAAGGGUGCGUAGGUGGCAGUGCAAGUCAGAUGUGAAAGGCCGGGGCUCAACCCCGGAGCUGCAUUUGAAACUGCUCGGCUAGAGUACAGGAGAGGCAGGCGGAAUUCCUAGUGUAGCGGUGAAAUGCGUAGAUAUUAGGAGGAACACCAGUGGCGAAGGCGGCCGUCUGGUCUGUUGCUGACACUGAAGCACGAAAGCGUGGGGAGCAAAUAGGAUUAGAUACCCUAGUAGUCCACGCCGUAAACGAUGAGAACUAGGUGUUGGGGGAAUAACUCAGUGCCGCAGUUAACGCAAUAAGUUCUCCGCCUGGGGAGUAUGCACGCAAGUGUGAAACUCAAAGGAAUUGACGGGGGCCCGCACAAGCGGUGGAGUAUGUGGUUUAAUUCGAAGCAACGCGAAGAACCUUACCUGGGCUUGACAUGUAAUGAACAACAUGUGAAAGCAUGCGACUCUUCGGAGGCGUUACACAGGUGCUGCAUGGCCGUCGUCAGCUCGUGUCGUGAGAUGUUUGGUUAAGUCCAGCAACGAGCGCAACCCCUGUUGCCAGUUACCAGCACGUGAAGGUGGGGACUCUGGCGAGACUGCCCAGAUCAACUGGGAGGAAGGUGGGGACGACGUCAGGUCAGUAUGGCCCUUAUGCCCAGGGCUGCACACGUACUACAAUGCCCAGUACAGAGGGGGCCGAAGCCGCGAGGCGGAGGAAAUCCUGAAAACUGGGCCCAGUUCGGACUGUAGGCUGCAACCCGCCUACACGAAGCCGGAAUCGCUAGUAAUCGCGAAUCAGCAUGUCGCGGUGAAUACGUUCUCGGGCCUUGCACACACCGCCCGUCA